rnacentral:rRNA from 1 species
AGCGAACGCUGGCGGCAGGCCUAACACAUGCAAGUCGAACGAACUCUUCGGAGUUAGUGGCGGACGGGUGAGUAACACGUGGGAACGUGCCUUUAGGUUCGGAAUAGCUCCUGGAAACGGGUGGUAAUGCCGAAUGUGCCCUUCGGGGGAAAGAUUUAUCGCCUUUAGAGCGGCCCGCUUCUGAUUAGCUAGUUGGUGAGGUAAUGGCUCACCAAGGCGACGAUCAGUAGCUGGUCUGAGAGGAUGACCAGCCACAUUGGGACUGAGACACGGCCCAAACUCCUACGGGAGGCAGCAGUGGGGAAUCUUGCGCAAUGGGCGAAAGCCUGACGCAGCCAUGCCGCGUGGAUGAUGAAGGUCUUAGGAUUGUAAAAUCCUUUCACCGGUGAAGAUAAUGACUGUAGCCGGAGAAGAAGCCCCGGCUAACUUCGUGCCAGCCGCCGCCGUAA